rnacentral:rRNA from 1 species
AUUGAACGCUGGCGGCAUGCUUUACACAUGCAAGUCGGACGAGUGGCGAACGGGUGAGUAACGCAUCGGAACGUACCGAGUAAUGGGGGAUAACUGUCCGACAGGACAGCUAAUACCGCAUCGUCUUCGACCGGCCGAUUGCUGAUUAGCUGGUUGGCGGGGUAAAGGCCCACAAAGGCGACGAUCAGUAGCGGGUCUGAGAGGAUGAUCAGCCACCCUGGGUCUGGGACACGGCCCAGACUCCUACGGGAGGCAGCAGAGGGGAAUUUUGGACAAUGGGCGCAAGCCUGAUCCAGCCUGGCAGCGUGUCUGAAGAAGGCCUUCGGGUUGUAAAGGACUAUUGUCAGGGAAGCGGUACCUGAAGAAUGAGCACCGGCUAAUUCCGUGCCAGCAGCCGCGGUAAUUC